rnacentral:rRNA from 1 species
GAUUAACGCUGGCGGCGUGCCUAACACAUGCAAGUCGAACGAGGUAGCAAUACCUAGUGGCAGACGGGUGAGUAACGCGUGGUCAACCUACCGUUGAGUGGGGGAUAACUAGCCGAAAGGUUAGCUAAUACCGCAUACGUCUCCGAGGGGCAUCCCUUGGCGAUAAAAGGAGCAAUCCGCUCGAUGACGGGACCGCGUCCCAUUAGCUAGAUGGUGGGGUAACGGCCUACCAUGGCACCGAUGGGUAGCUGGUUUGAGAGAGCGACCAGCCACACUGGGACUGAGAAACGGCCCAGACUCCUACGGGAGGCAGCAGUGAGGAAUUUUCCGCAAUGGGCGCAAGCCUGACGGAGCGACGCCGCGUGUGGGAAGAAG